ACCAAUGAUGUUACAAUCCAACUUGUGAGUCUGUAGUUUACCCAAGACCCUCUUUUGAGGGAGAACCUACUUGGUGCUGCUACAUUUUCUAUGACAGCAAAGAUUGUUCUGAGGU
rfam:Glycine max cultivar Williams 82 chromosome 12, whole genome shotgun sequence.